UGGUGGAGUGAUUUGUCUGGUUAAUUCCGAUAACGAACGAGACCUUAACCUGCUAAAUAGCCAGGCUGUUCUCCGAACGGUCGUCGGCUUCUUAGAGGGACUAUUGGCGUUUAGCCGAUGGAAGUUUGAGGCAAUAACA
rnacentral:rRNA from 1 species